GGAUUAGAUACCCUGGUAGUCCACGCCGUAAAUGGUGAGUGCUAGGUAUUAGGGAUUCGUCUUUAGUAUCGUAGUUAACGCGUUAAGCACUCCGCCUGGGGAGUACGGUCGCAAGAUUAAAACUCAAAGGAAUUGACGGGGGCCCGCACAAGCGGUGGAGUAUGCGGUUUAAUUCGAAGCAACGCGAAGAACCUUACCAACUCUUGACAUGGUAGUCGCGAGAAUCAGAGAUGAUUUUUUCAGUUCGGCUGGACUGCACACAGGUGUUGCAUGGCUGUCGUCAGCUCGUGCCG
rnacentral:rRNA from 1 species